GUCAACCUAACCUAUGGACGGGAAUAACCUCGGGAAACUGAGUAUAAUGCCCGAUAGAACAUUAUGCCUGGAAUGGUUUAUGUUCCAAAUGAUUUAUCGCCGUAGGAUGGGACUGCGGCCUAUCAGUUUGUUGGUGAGGUAAUGGCCCACCAAGACUAUUACAGGUACGGGCUCUGAGAGGAGUAGCCCGGAGAUGGGUACUGAGACACGGACCCAGGCCCUAUGGGGCGCAGCAGGCGAGAAAACUUUGCAAUGUGCGAAAGCACGACAAGGUUAAUCCGAGUGGUUCCUGCUAAAGGAACCUUUUGACGGUCCUAAAAACACCGUUGAGUAAGGGGUGGGCAAGUUCUGGUGUCAGCCGCCGCGGUAAAACCAGCACCUCAAGUGGUCAGGAUGAUUAUUGGGCCUAAAGCAUCCGUAGCCGACUCUGUUAGUUUUCGGUUAAAUCUGUACGCUCAACGUACAGGCUGCCGGGAAUACUACAGAGCUAGGGAGUGGGAGAGGUAGACGGUACUUGGUAGGAAGGGGUAAAAUCCUUUGAUCUAUUGAUGACCACCUGUGGCGAAGGCGGUCUACUAGAACACGUCCGACGGUGAGGGAUGAAAGCUGGGGGAGCAAACCGGAUUAGAUACCCGGGUAGUCCCAGCUGUAAACCAUGCAAACUCAAUGAUGCACUGGCUUGAAGCCAAUGCAGUGUUGCAGGGAAGCCGUUAAGUUUGCCGCCUGGGAAGUACGUACGCAAGUAUGAAACUUAAAGGAAUUGGCGGGGGAGCACCACAAGGGGUGAAGCCUGCGGUUC
rnacentral:rRNA from 1 species